UUAAUGUUUUAUCAAAAGUCACAAACUUAGGGUUUAUAGUUAAAGAGUGGGGUUUAGGAUUUAGGGUUUAGGGUUUAGGGUUUAGAGUUUAGGGUUUAGGGUUUAGAUUUUAGGGUUUAGGGUUUAGAUUUUAGGGUUUAGGGUUUAGAGUUUAGGGUUUAGGGUUUAUGGUUUAGGGUUUAGGGUUUAGGGUUUAGGGUUUAGAGUUUAGGGUUUAGGGUUUAGAGUUGAGGGUUUAGGGUUUAGAGUUGAGAAAUGAGGUUUUGGGGAUAAGAUUUCAAAUUUUGAAAAAUAAAAAAAAUUAAAAUUUUCAAAGGAUAAACUUAGAAAGGUGCUAUUUUGGUCAUUUUAGUUUUUGAGUGCUAUUUUUGUGAUAUAAACUUAGAAAUGUGCUAUUUUGGAGAUUUGCCCAAAAACAAAUUCAAAAUAAUUCGAAAAAAUAUUCAUGAAGUAGCAAUUUACAAAAGUUUGAUCAAAUUUUGUAAGUCGGUGUAUAUAUAUUUUCUUAUCCAAGUAACUUUUAAAAUUCACAAACUCUACACAAUUUUAUCCCCCAAUAACCUCCAUCUUUAUAGUAGACUUAUUACUCACUCUAAUCAUGCUUUCUUGCUCACUUACACCUAGUCUCUAGACCAAUCUUUACAGCCA
rnacentral:lncRNA from 1 species